UCAGUAGAUUACCGAUCACAAUCUCAUCUGCUGUAAAUCGUCUUCACCGGCAGGGGGUGCAAGCGCUACUUUGUCUUAACAAGCAUCAACGAAACCGUCACGAGAGGCCUUCAUAAAACAUCAUUUGACGAAAUGGACCGAGCGGUGAGUACAAGUUAUGAUUUUAUAGGGAGACAAUGAAGUGCUGAGAUCAGCAAGGCACCUUUUGGCACUUUUGACACAAGAGAGAGCUGAUGGGUCUUCUACUAGUCAGGGUAUAAACAGAUCAUCUCAUGUUAGAGGCCAAACUCCGGGGCCAUCUUCUGUCCAAACAGAAAUGACCAGGUAAGUAGAAACUGUAUAUAACAAUCCUCGCCUAUUAUGAACCGUAGGUCUGUUCUGACUUCCAUGUUACAGUUUUUAAAACAGGUCCUUUCCUGGAUUGUUCUCAAAUCGUAGAGGAAAACGACGUUUCACUGGACCAUGUCCUGUGCCCAUAAAACCCAAACCAUUUCAGGUCAUGUUCCAUCUGCUGCCAGCCCAAUGUGAGCGGUCCCCUAGUGCAGUGCUUCUCAAACUGGGGGUCGCGACCCCGAAUGAUUUCAAGGGGUCGCGAGUUGGUUUGAAAAAAUUCUGUAUUUUCUGACUACAAAAAAUAUUUUUCAAUACUAAAAAAAUAAGAUUACAAAUAAAUAUUUUUUUUGGAUUUCUAAAGACAGAACUGAUUAGAGAUUUAAAAAAUAUAUAUAUAUAUAUAUAUAUAAUUUCGUGACUCUAAGAUAACGUCACCCUGCACCGACUGAUCGCUAGUUAUCAAUACUGCACGCAACUGCACGUGGAAACUGCAACGGCAAGAAUGGAUAAAUUUGUAAUUUGCAAGGUUAGAAAUGUUGAGAAAAUUGUGGACAGCCUGAAUCAUCUGAACCGUGUACCUCUACAAAACACAAGAGCUAGACCCGUUCUGACCAAUGUAGGAAACGUCGGAAAUAUCAAGAGGAAUUCAUAAAGUAUGGAUUCACUUGCUCUUCUGUCAACGAUUUGGACCAUUCUCAGUGUGUAAUCUGUUCAGAAGUGCUUGCCCAUGAAAGUAUGAAGCCUGGAAAAACACAGAGACAUUUGGAGACAAGAAACCCUGCUUGUGUUGAAAAACCUAUAGACGUUUUUCGCAGAAAAGAGAAGGAAUUAUACAGAUUCAUAUUUGUGUGAGCAGACUUUUUCAGCUGUUACGUACAUGAAAAAAAAAUACAGAUCACGUCUUGAUGUUGAGGAUGAUCUGCGAGUAGCCGUAUCCAACAUCAGGCCACAGAUUACACUUUUGUGCACCGAAAAACAAGUGCACCCAUCCCACUGUAAGGUAAACCUAAAUACAGUAAAUAUUAUGAAAGUUUGUUUCCGCCACGUCAGAAAAUAUUUGAAAAGAUAAUUUUUUAAAUCUAAAAAUUGCGAGUUUAAAUCUUGCUAUUCUGACUUGGUUUUUCAUAAUUGUGAAAUACAAACUUGCAGUGUGAGUUAUUAAGUUAUAAAUGGUAUAAAAUCGCAAUUACCUUUUUUAUUUUGUUAUUCUGCAAACAAGCUUCCAUAGGAAGUGGAUGUGGAUUUAAAACAAUUUUUUUUUCUGUUUAUUGUUUGUGUAUUCUGUGGUAUUGGGUCGCGAGUUCUCGUCGAUGUUUGUUUAGAGGUCGUUGGCUAAAAAGUUUGAGAACCACUGCCCUAGUGGUCCAGAUCAACUGCUCCAUACACAGGCAGGACUGGGACCAGAACUGCACUCUAGAUGAGAGUAUGACUCAUCAGGAGUUAUGUGAUAAACUCAUGGUGAGGUAACUGGUGGUUGGCUUCUUUAUAAGGCAGCAGGGGGUUGGGGAAGCCGGAAGCCUUCACUUGUGGCACCUGCAGACUGUGGGUACACAGGCAGGCUUAUCAAAACCUCCAAAAUAGGGGAGAAUUCUGUCCUCUAUAUAGCUCCAGUACAAGAUGAGCUCGAUGUCACUCCCUUGCCACCAUCAUCAGAAGCAGUCCGAGAUAUGCCUAAAGCAAUGUGCAAAAAAUACUGUACCCACUUCAGAUCCUCACAAAUCACAUUAAGACUUGUUCUGAUGUUGUUGUGGUCGAAGAUGGAGAUGAAAGUCAGGAUGAAGCUCUGCAUGAUCCACAAGAUGUGGAAAGUGAAAAAAAGAGCAAUGAACAGGCUUGCUGUCCUAUUUGUCAAGAAGAAAUGCCCCUUGACAUCUUGGAAGUUCAUGCCAGUGAAUGUGGGGAAAGAUCUCUGGAUGAUGAAAAUAACAACACAACUGAGUUGUCAUGUAUGGAUAAUGAAGUGAACGACACUGCUGAGUUUUUAUACGUGGAUAAU